rnacentral:tRNA from 1 species
GGGCCGUUGGCGCAGUGGUAGCGCACCUCAUUUGCAAUGAGGGGGUCGGGAGUCCGAAUCUCCCACGGUCCACCA